rnacentral:rRNA from 1 species
GACUUGUGUGUGCUUGCAAUUAGCGGUCAGUUCCCAAAAGGGUUCUCCGACAUGCGUUGCGAGCGCCGUCAAACCUUCAACUGAAUCGUGCCUGGACUUCAUUGUCUGGGCGCUGUCAUUCGGUUGAUCAUUUACUGUGAGAAAAUUAGAGUGUUCAAGGCAGGCAUUAUUGCAAUUGAAUAUGUUAGCAUGGAAUAAUAAGAUAAGGCUUUCGCGUUUAUUUUGUUGGUUUCUAGAUCGGAAGUAAUGAUUGAUAGGGACAGUUGGGGGUGCUAGUAUUCAGCGGCCAGAGGUGAAAUUCAUGGAUUCGCUGAAGACUGACUUAUGCGAAAGCAUU